rnacentral:rRNA from 1 species
UACGUAGGGGGCAAGCGUUGUCCGGAAUCAUUGGGCGUAAAGAGCGUGUAGGCGGUCCGGUAAGUCGGCUGUGAAAGUCCAGGGCUCAACCCUGGGAUGCCGGUCGAUACUGCCGGACUAGAGUUCGGAAGAGGCGAGUGGAAUUCCCGGUGUAGCGGUGAAUGCGCAGAUAUCGGGAGGAACACCUAUGGCGAAGGCAGGUCACUGGGCCACUACUGACGCUGAGGAGCGAAAGCAUGGGGAGCGAACAGG